rnacentral:rRNA from 1 species
GAUGAACGCUAGCGACAGGCCUAACACAUGCAAGUCGAGGGGCAGCACGAAUCAAGCUUGCUUGAUUUGGUGGCGACCGGCGCACGGGUGCGUAACAGGUGUGCAAUCUGUCCAUAAUCGGGGAAUAGCCCAGCGAAAGUUGGAUUAAUGCUCCAUGUGAGUUUUAGAGGCAUCUCUUUAACUUGAAACGUAAGGAUUAUGGGUGAGCACGCUUCUGAUUAGGUAGUUGGUGAGGUAACGGCUCACCAAGCCGACGAUCAGUAGGGGUUCUGAGAGGAAGGUCCCCCACAUUGGAACUGAGACACGGUCCAAACUCCUACGGGAGGCAGCAGUGAGGAAUAUUGGUCAAUGGACGGAAGUCUGAACCAGCCAAGUCGCGUGAAGGAUGAAGGUUCUAUGGAUUGUAAACUUCUUUUGUCUGAGGGUAAAACAGCGGACGUGUCCGUUCUUGCAAGUAUCAGACGAAUAAGCAUCGGCUAACUCCGUGCCAGCAGCCGCGGUAAAAC